CUGCACAUUCCCAUUGCUCACCAGAGAUUCGAUGACUGACCCACUGGUUCUUUAUGCAAUAUUUUUCAGCUCAAACCCAAACCAUCUCACAGAAACCCUCUGCUCUGCCAGUGCUGCUGAAGAAGACACGAGCCUGAAGAGUACAUGAAGAGCUGAUGCCAAAUUAAAGCCUCUGGUUGGAGAAACUACCUCUGGAUCUCACAUAGCCUUGAACUCAGGGGGACCCACUGCAGGUUGGGAGCAGGGAGGUCUGACACUCACCCAGAGGGAUGACACACACCAGCACCAGCCUGCACAGCCCUACCUUUCUUUUUGCUUUUUCCCAGCCAUUCUGAAACCUGUGUUAAGCCACAACGAACACCCACAGCCUUAGGCACGGGAGGGUGCCAGCAGGUAACACCAGCUCAACCUGGCCGCAGGGGCAGGAACAGAGGAUACCCACACUGCCAUCCCAGCUCUGCCAGCUGCUGGAAGAGACCCCUCCAUCCCUUCAGCGUGACUCAGGACCCACAUUGUCUUCAGUCCGCUUGGUUGAAUUAACUUAGGCUGGCAGGCCAGGCUGUCUGAGGUGCUGCAGGAAUGACAACAUGAGCAAGACAGCCUUGGUAGGAUUGUUAAAAGCUCCAAGGCAAGACAGGACUUUUCUGGGGGCAAAACACUUGUGAAAUUGAAGAUCCUAUAGCUCUCAGAAGAAACAGCAUGACUCCAGCUCCGAAAUCACAGCAAAAGCUGAUUUUUGAAUUUACCCUUUCAGAAAUGCCUAAUAAUUCUGGUAUUGCCCCUUUCAGAGAUGCAUCUGGUCAAGCCAAUGGCCAGGUUUAAAAAACACAUACCAUGACAUAAAGCAUCCCUCAGCAGAGAGCCACCUCAUCCCUUGUUCUCUUCAACACUGAUGGUGUAAAGCCCACGUUCAGUGGUUUCUCUUUAUGCCGCCUCGAAGAGCCCACAUCAUCCAAAGGUUGUGUUUUCAUUUUUAAAAGGGCAGAAACAGAUCACAGAGGAAGAGCUGGAAGGAUUUUCCCAGCCAUGUGCCAUAGAGCGUUAGCUGGAAAAGCAGUAAGGGAAUGGUCCUCUGUUGGACCAUGUUCAUUUAGAAAGUAAGUCAAGGAUUGAUUUCCGAUCUCCUGUUAAGAGUGUUCCAGCACCCAACCUCAUUUAUCUUCAUACUGCAGCCAUUUGUAAGAGCAUAUACUACACGCACACAAAGCUCAGCAGCAAAGGAGAACGGAACAAAAGAGUAAUAACCAAGGCAAAAGGCUGACAUUAACAGGCACAAAUUGCCUUUAAACCCAUGACUUCAGAGGGAGCUUUUCGGAAUCGUUUGUUUCUUCAGCAAAAGAUGGGUUAGAUCCAAAGCAUUUAAUAAAACUCGCUGACUCCUAC